rnacentral:piRNA from 1 species
UGAGAGUGCUGAUGAUUUGCUUUGUGG